CCUCCACAUAAGUGUUGAGCCUAAUUUGUAUUGUUUGUGUGUACACUCUUUGUUUGUUUGAUGAGCAGUCUUAGUUGGUUGUCACGCAUUACUGCUAUAAUCCCAGCCUUCAAGCAUGUCAAGAUGGUUCUCCCCCAUUUGAGCUAGUUUAACUCUUGUCUUUUCUCUUCCAUCCCUUUCUAUCUUUUUCAUAUUAGUUCAUCAUUCUCUUGGAUGACAAGCCCAAUUUAUUGUUAAAGUUUUCUGACCAUUUGUGGGGGGACAUUAUGUAUUCUGC